UACGUAGGUGGCAAGCGUUGUCCGGAUUUACUGGGUUUAAAGGGUGCGUAGGUGGGUAGGUAAGUCAGUGGUGAAAUCUUCGAGCUUAACUCGGAAACUGCCAUUGAUACUAUUUAUCUUGAAUACUCUGGAGGUAAGCGGAAUAUGUCAUGUAGCGGUGAAAUGCUUAGAUAUGACAUAGAACACCAAUUGCGAAGGCAGCUUACUACAUAGUUAUUGACACUGAGGCACGAAGGCGUGGGGAUCAAACAGG
rnacentral:rRNA from 1 species